rnacentral:rRNA from 1 species
UGAGUACGAGACGCUAAGGCGUCGAAGUAGUGGAUGUCAUACUUCCAAGAAAAGCUUGCACUGUCAUAGAUAAAAAACGCCUGUACCAUAACCGACACAGGUGGGUAGGUAGAGUAUACUAAGGGGCGCGAGAUAACUCUCUCUAAGGAACUCGGCAAAAUGACUCCGUAACUUCGGGAGAAGGAGUGCCUUAUUCGUAAGGCUGCAUUAACAAGAUCCAAGCAACUGUUUAUCAAAAACACAGGUCUCCGCUAAGUCGUAAGACGAUGUAUGGGGGCUGACGCCUGCCCAGUGCCAGAAGGUUAAAGAAGUCGGUUAGCAUUAGCGAAGCUGGUAACUGAAGCCCUGGUGAACGGCGGCCGUAACAAUAACGGUCCUAAGGUAGCGAAAUUCCUUGUCGGGUAAGUUCCGACCCGCACGAAAGGCGUAAUGAUUUGGAUACUGUCUCGGAGAGGGGCUCGGUGAAAUAGACUUGUCUGCGAAGAUGCGGACUACCUGCACCAGGACAGAAAGACCCUAUGAAGCUUUACUGUAACUUGAAAUCGAAAUUGGACUUUAUUCGCGCAGUAUAGGAGGGAGGUGUUGAUUAUAAUCUUGCGGGAUUAUUGGAGCCAUCAGUGAGAUACCACUCUUGUAAUGUUAGAUUUCUAACUUUGAAUCAUUAUCUGGUCAAAGAACAGUUUCAGGCGGGCAGUUUGACUGGGGCGGUCGCCUCCUAAAUGGUAACGGAGGCGUACAAAGGUUUCCUCUGAACGGGUAGAAAUCGUAUCUAGAGUGUAAAGGCAUAAGGAAGCUUGACUGUGAGACCUACAAGUCGAGCAGGGACGAAAGUCGGUCUUAGUGAUCUGACGGUACUGAGUGGAAAGGCCGUCACUCAACGGAUAAAAGUUACUCUAAGGAUAACAGGCUGAUCUCCCCCAAGAGUUCACAUCGACGGGGAGGUUUGGCACCUUGAUGUCGGCUCAUCGCAUCCUGGGGCGGUAGUACGUCCCAAGGGUUGGGCUGUUCGCCCAUGAAAGCGGUACGCGAGCUGGGUUCAGAACGUCGUGAGACAGUUCGGUCCAUAUCCGGUGUAGGCGUUAGAAUAUUGAGAGGAGCCUUCUUUAGUACGAGAGGACCGAGAAGGACAUACCUCUGGUGUACCAGUUAUCGUGCCAACGGUAAACGCUGGGUAGCUAUGUAUGGAGUGGAUAACCGCUGAAAGCAUCUAAGUGGGAAGCCCACCUCAAGAUAAGUAUUCUCAC